UACAGAGGUCUCAAGCGUUGUUCGGAUUCAUUGGGCGUAAAGGGUGCGUAGGCGGCGCGGUAAGUCGGGUGUGAAAUCUUGGAGCUUAACUCCGAAACUGCAUUCGAUACUGCCGUGCUUGAGGACUGGAGAGGAGACUGGAAUUUACGGUGUAGCGGUGAAAUGCGUAGAUAUCGUAAGGAAGACCAGUGGCGAAGGCGGGUCUCUGGACAGUUCCUGACGCUGAAGCACGAAGGCCAGGGGAGGCAAACGGGGAU
rnacentral:rRNA from 1 species